rnacentral:rRNA from 1 species
UUUGAAAUCUGGCCCCCCCCCGGGGCCCGAGUUGUAAUCUGCAGAUGGGUUUUCCGGCGAGGCGCGCGCCCAAGUUCCCUGGAAUGGGACGCCGCAGAGGGUGAGAGCCCCGUACAGGCGGCGCGCCGAGCCACCGCGAUGCCCAUUCGACGAGUCGAGUAGUUUGGAAAUGCUGCUCUAAUUGCGGGGUAAAUCUCCCGUAAGGCUAAAUACCGGCCGGAGACCGAUAGCGAACAAGUAGCGUGAGCGAAAGAUGAAAAGAGCCUUGGAUAAGGGCGUCAAAAAGCAUGUGAAAUUGUUAUGGGGGAAGCGCUCGUCGCCAGACGCGGCGGCGGCCGGUUACCUGGCGUUCUCGCCGGCGCACUCGGACCGCCGCCGGGCCAGCAACGGCUGGGGCCGGGGCUCACUGCCGCGGGGAACGUGGCCCUCCCCUCGGGGAGUGUUAUAGCCCCGCGGCGACGCCCUGUUCCCGGCCGAGGACCGCGCGUAUGCGAGGAUGCUGGCUUAAUGGCGCCCAGCGACCCGUCUUGAAACACGGACCAAGGAGUUGACCUGCCGCGCGAGUGUACGGGUGCCAAGCCCCUGCGCGCAGUGAAAGCGAACGCUGGUGGGAGCCCGCGAGGGCGCACCACCGACCGAUCCUGAAGCUCGCGGAUGGAUUUGAGUAGGAGCGUGGCGGGUCUGACCCGAAAGAAGGUGAACUAUGCAUGAAUAGGGUGAAGCCAGAGGAAACUCUGGUGGAGGCUCGCAGCGGUUCUGACGUGCAAAUCGAUCGUCAAAUUUGUGCAUGGGGGCGAAAGACCAAUCGAACCUUCUAGUAGCUGGUUCCUGCC